rnacentral:rRNA from 1 species
ACGUAGGGGGCAAGCGUUGUCCGGAUUUAUUGGGCGUAAAGAGCUCGUAGGCAGUUUGGUAAGUCAGGUGUGAAAUCUCCACGCUCAACGUGGAGGGGCCACCUGAUACUGCCAUGACUUGAGUACGGUAGAGGAGUGUGGAAUUCCCGGUGUAGCGGUGAAAUGCGCAGAUAUCGGGAGGAACACCCGUAGCGAAGGCGGCACUCUGGGCCGAUACUGACGCUGAGGAGCGAAAGCGUGGGGAGCAAACAGGA